UCACAGGAAGAAGAAGAAGGCCCCACAGGCUUCCCAUGCAUGUCUUUUUGCAUCUGAAAGGAUCACAACAUGGCAGGAGUGGGUGUCCCACCUCCAGCUCACUGUGUGCACAUCUCAACGCCACAAGGUCCAGAUGCACUCCACUAUGAGUGGAUGCUCGGAGGAAGCUGGUUGCCAUAGCGCUGAACCACAUCGUUCACAAACCCUGCAGGAAGCUGUUGCAGCUUUGAAGUCACACUGGUGUGAGCCAAAUAAUUGCUACUUCCUUCCUCUGUGUGUGCCGUUAGAGAUCAUCAGGUGGUGCCGGAGGACAUUAUCCAUUUUCACUUAGUUCUUCCAAACCAUGUACGCUCGAUUCAGCAGCCUACAAGAGGAGGUUUGUCCUUCCAUCUUCAGGCAUGCACACUGGUUGAAGGGUCCUUAAGCAACCCACUAACCACCAAAUUGCUGCUAAUGGUCAGCCCAUAAAUACAUGGGAAAAACUACAAAGCACUUCAGAUAAUGACGCAGUUGUACAUAACAUUCAUGCUACAAAUACAUAUUUUUUUUCUCAACAAACCUUUGUCAUGUCACAGUCAAACAAGGAUAAUGAAACAUCCUCUGUGUAAUGAGUCCGGUAAGUGCCAUUGAUUUCAGUGUAGCAACAUCUUUUCUAAUUGAAAUAGCACCCUUGAAUGUACUUACCAGGAAGGUCUGGCCCCCCUUCAUCAACUGGCAACAACAUAACAAGAGAGAGGCCGCUCGUUCUUAAGCCUCAUUUCCUCCAGAGUGGUAAGUUUGGAUUCUACAGUGGCUGACGGAGCUUAAUGCACUUUAAAUUACAGAAUUCGUCCUUUUGUCAUAUUUAUAUAUGACUGCACUGUUUUUUUUCUGUAAAAUUGGAUGGAUUGGAUCAGAAUUACACUCAACAAAAAUAUAAACGCAACACUUUUGUUUUUGCUCCCAUGUUUCAUGAGAUGGACUUGAAGAUCUAAACUUCAUUCCAGACACACAAUAUUACCAUUCCUCUCAAACAUUGUUCACAAAUCUGUCUAAAUGUGUGAUAGUGAGCACUUCUGCUUUGCUGAGAUAAUCCAUCCCACCUCACAGGUGUGCCACAUCAAGAUGCUGAUCUGACAUCAUGAUUAGUGCACAGGUGUACCUCAAACUGCCCACAAU
rnacentral:lncRNA from 1 species